GCUCGCCCCCGGAAGCGCGACCGGCUGGCUCGGCUCUGUUUGGGUUUGGGGGCGGAGGAGAGUUUCGGAGCUAUGGCGAAGUCCGGGAGGGAGGUGGAUACCCAGAGCGUGGCUGCGUUCACCGUGUUAAAGCGGGCGGUGGAGCUAGACUCGGAGUCCCGGUACCAACAGGCUCUGGUUUGUUACCAAGAGGGGAUAGACCUGCUCAUGCAGGUUCUGAGAGGCACCAAAGAUGACACAAAGAAAUCUAAUCUCAGAAAGCAAAUUACUGGCUACAUGGAUAGAGCAGAAAUAGUGAAGAAAUACUUGGAUCAAGAAAAAGAAGAUGGAAAAUAUCACGAGCAGAUUAAAAUAGAAGAGAAUGCAACAGGUUUCAGUUAUGAGUCGCUUUUUCAAAAAUACCUUAAUGAAACAGUUACAGAAGUUUGGAUACAAGAUCCUUAUAUUAGGCAGAUUCAUCAGCUAUAUAACUUUCUUCGAUUUUGUGAGAUGCUUAUUAAGAAACCAUGUAAAGUAAAAACUAUUCAUCUUCUCACCUCUCUGGAUGAAGGUAGUGGGAAACAGCAGCAAAGUAGUGGUCUGCAAGAAAUAAAAGAGUCACUCCAGAAUCAUGGGGUGCUGUUGGAAAUAGAAUAUUCUUCUUCAGUUCAUGACCGAGAAAUUAGGUUUAAUAAUGGAUGGAUGAUUAAGAUUGGAAGGGGACUUGACUAUUUUAAGAAACCACAGGUGAUGUUUGUUAAAUUUCCCUUUUGGAACUUGAAGUCUUUAUCACCUUUCACCUGAUGAUAUUCUCGCUUUUAAGAAACAAAUGGUAUCAGAAAAGCACAAGUGCUUUAUUGCCCCAAAGCAUAUCCUGCCAGGUUUUUAUACCUUUCUUGGAAAGCAAUUUUAACACAUUGCAGCAAAUAUAAUGCAUAAAAAGUAUGCCUCUGAGAAAUCUCUUCAAAAUUGUUUAUUUGCCAUUUAGUAUUGCUGGAGAAGAACAGAAGGACCUGCCUAUGAAACCUGACUCAAAUGAAGAAUGGUUAGACUGCCAAUUAUGUUUGUCCCAGGAGCCCCUUGAAAAGUAAAAUCCUCUUCACUUAUUCCACUCCCACACUGAGAGAACCAGUUACAGGCAAAACCCUGUGUGUCCACUCCUAUCCCUCCUCUUCAUCAUAAAAAAAGGGGUGAGAUGUGGAUCCACUCAGUUACAAGAAGAGAGCUCAUAAGAGCUAAAUUCACGUGUUAAAAUCCUAACCCCCAGUACCUCAGAAUAUAACUGUAUUUGGAGGUAAGGUCUUCAAAGAGUUAUAGAGUUAAAAUGAUGUCUUUAGAGUAGACCCUAAUCUAGUAAGAUUGGUGUCCUUAUAAGGAAGUGGAAGUGGAAAUUUUGACAUAGAUAUGUACACUCAGAGGAAACCUAACAGCACCCCAGUUGGUGUUAAAGGUUAAUGUGCUUCAAGCUUAUGCACUUCUUGCUUGCUGUCCUAAAUCCCAGUUUAUAGCAGUACUAACCUACUUCCUUUAAGAUCCUGCACACUGAGGAACUUGAGGAACAAAGAACCAGACUUUCCAGAAGAUAAGGCUUGACCACACUCAAAAAUAGCCACCACUGACCAGGGCAUCCUCAGUAAGAGACAUAUGGGAGCCUUGAUUCCUGGUACAGGGGGAGGAGUCUAUACUGCCUUGCCAGGAUAUGGCUCAUUGGGCUGCAGGGGCAUCCUUUACUGAGAGACACUUAGGAGCCUUGACUAUUGACAGAGCAGAGGAUUCUGUAAGAUUUUUAGAGGACCGAUGAUUAACUGCUGAGCACCAACUUCUUCUCACAUAGCACCCCUCGCCAUUUCCUGCACCUUCCCUUUUAAAAAUGUAUUUCCCCUAGACAGGAAAGAAGGUCUUUGAGACCUUAAUCUCCCAUUUUUCCACGUUGCCAACUUCUUCAAUAAAGCAACCUUUCCUUUUCCACCAAGUAUUGCCUUUGGAGCGGUGAGUUUGGAACUGGCCCCCUGUCUGAUAAUAGAAAGACCAUGUGAGGAUACAGCAAGAAGGCAGCUAUCUACAGGCCAAGGGGAGAGGCCACAGGAGACACCAAACCCAUUUAGCACUUUGAUCUUGGACUUCCUGGCCUCCAGAACUAUUCAGGUUGCACUCCUGCCAAGGAUUCUGAUGCCUGCCUAUUACAACAGAAGGAGAAUUUCUCCACAAGAAAAGAACCGGCUUGCCUUC